rnacentral:rRNA from 1 species
ACCCGCUGAAUUUAAGCAUAUAAGUGAGCAGAGGAAUGCAAACCAAAAAGGGUUCCCUCAGUAAUGGCGAGUGAACAGGGAUUUGCGCAUUGUGGAAAUUGAAACCAUGGGUUUUGAGUUGUGUUUGCAAGAUGUGAUGUCAACGAGGUUGCAUAUGUAAGCCUAAUGGAAAAGAGCAUUGGCAGAGGUGACAGCCCUGAGCAUCUUAUGUUGCACCUGGCAGACGGCGCACAUGUUAUGAGUCACGCUCUUUGGGAUUGGAGCGCGAAGCAGGUGGUAGCUUUCAUCUACAGCUUGAUAGUUGCUUGAAACCGAUAGAAGACAAGUACCAUAAGGGAAAGGUGAAAAGGACUUUGAGAAGCGAUUUAAACAGUGUUUGAAAUUGCUGAACGGAAAGUGAGGGAAACCUGCAUAGCGCGGUGGGACUGCUACAUUCUAACACUUCUGCCUGCUGUUUCAUCGCCUGUGCAGUGUCAGUGCAUGGGUGGUCUGCUUGUGGUGCGUCCCACCCUGUAUGUUCCAGUUUGCUGCUAUAUGGGGAAACUGCUGGGGCAUGGACAGACAUUCUUGGAUUUAUGAAUGCCCAGGUGCUUACACCUCAUGUGAAGUUGCACUGGUUCUGCAUGGUUUUACCCAGCCCGUCUUGAAACACGGACCAAGGAGUCUAACACAUGUGCAAGCUCAUGGGGUGUUAACAUCUAUGUGUGUAAUGAAAGAGAUUGCUGUGUACUUCAUUUUAGCAGCAGCAACUGACCAUUUGCCUGAAAAGGGCUCAAGUGUGAGCAUAUCUGUUAGGACCCGAAAGAUGGUGAACUAUGCUUGUGAAUGGCAAAUUCAGGGGAAACUCUGAUGGAGGCCAAUAGCGAUACUGACGUGCAAAUCGUUCGUCAUACAUGGGUAUAGGGGCGAAAGACUAAUCGAACCAUCUAGUAGCUGGUUCCUUCCGAAGUUUCCCUCAGGACAGCUGGAGCUGAAAAGUUUCAUCUGGUAAAGCGAAUGGUUAAAGGAGUCGGGGUCGUGUUGUCCUCGACCUAUUCUCAAACUUUAAAUGGGUGAGGUCCUUUUGUUACUUGGGUGAACCUUACGAAUUAAUGAUGCUGCUAAGUGGGCCAAUUUUGGUAAGCAGAGCUGGCGAUGAGGGAUGAACCUAAUGCCAGGUUAUGGAGCUUAACUGCCCGCUCAUCAGAACCCAUAAAGGGUGUUGGCUCAUUUGAACAGCAGGACGGUGGUCAUGGAAGUUGAAAUCCGCUAAGGGGUGUGUAACAACUCACCUGCCGAAUGGACUAGCCCCAAAAAUGGAUGGCGCUCAAGCAGGUUUCUGAUACUUGGCCGUUGAUGCAAUCGCUUGCAUUACCGAGUAGGAAGGUAUGGAGGCUUGCUAUGAAGCUUUUAGCGUGAGCUUGAGUGAAGCAGCCUCUGAUGCAGAUCUUGGUGGUAGUAGC